rnacentral:rRNA from 1 species
AGGAGAGUUUGAUCCUGGCUCAGGACGAACGCUGGCGGCGUGCUUAACACAUGCAAGUCGAACGAGACGAUUUUAAGCUUGCUUAGAUGAGUCGAGUGGCAAACGGGUGAGUAACGCGUAGACAACCUGCCGCAAAGAUGGGGACAACAGUCCGAAAGGACUGCUAAUACCGAAUGUUGUGCAACCUCCGCAUGGAGGAUGCAUUAAAGAUGGCCUCUACUUGUAAGCUAUCGCUUUGCGAUGGGUCUGCGUCUGAUUAGCUAGUUGGUGGGGUAACGGCCUACCAAGGCGACGAUCAGUAGCCGGUCUGAGAGGAUGAACGGCCACAUUGGAACUGAGACACGGUCCAGACUCCUACGGGAGGCAGCAGUGGGGAAUCUUCCGCAAUGGGCGAAAGCCUGACGGAGCAACGCCGCGUGAGUGAAGAAGGUCUUCGGAUCGUAAAGCUCUGUUGUCGGGGACGAAUGUACCUUUUGUGAAUAAUGAGAGGUAAUGACGGUACCUGACGAGGAAGCCACGGCUAACUACGUGCCAGCAGCCGCGGUAAUACGUAGGUGGCGAGCGUUGUCCGGAAUUAUUGGGCGUAAAGGGAGCGCAGGCGGGAAGGCAAGUCAGUCUUAAAAGUGCGGGGCUCAACCCCGUGAUGGGAUUGAAACUGUCUUUCUUGAGUGCAGGAGAGGAAAGCGGAAUUCCUAGUGUAGCGGUGAAAUGCGUAGAUAUUAGGAGGAACACCAGUGGCGAAGGCGGCUUUCUGGACUGUAACUGACGCUGAGGCUCGAAAGCGUGGGGAGCGAACAGGAUUAGAUACCCUGGUAGUCCCCU